rnacentral:rRNA from 1 species
AUAACGACUCUCGGCAACGGAUAUCUCGGCUCUCGCAUCGAUGAAGAACGUAGCGAAAUGCGAUACUUGGUGUGAAUUGCAGAAUCCCGCGAAUCAUCGAGUCUUUGAACGCAAGUUGCGCCCUAGGCCAUCCGGCUGAGGGCACGUCUGCCUGGGUGUCACUCAC